CGAACGCUGCGGCGUGCCAAUACAUAGCAAGUGAAACGACUGAAGGAGGAGGCUUGCUUCUACUGGAUUGAAGGUUAGGUCGAAACCGGGUUACGGAGGUUAAACGCCGUUAGGGUAAACCCUUAGCCCUCGGUUAGUCGGGGGAGUAACGUAAUUUGGAAACGAUAGCUAAUACCGCAUAAUAGUAGAUGUUGCAUGACAUUUGCUUAAAAGAUGCAAUUGCAUCACUACCAGAUGGACCUGCGUUGUAUUAGCUAGUUGGUGGGGUAACGGCUCACCAAGGCGACGAUACAUAGCCGACCUGAGAGGGUGAUCGGCCACACUGGGACUGAGACACGGCCCAGACUCCUACGGGAGGGCAGCAGUAGGGAAUCUUCGGCAAUGGACGAAAGUCUGACCGAGCAACGCCGCGUGAGUGAAGAAGGUUUUCGGAUCGUAAAGCUCUGUUGUAAGAGAAGAACGAGUGUGAGAGUGGAAAGUUCACACUGUGACGGUAUCUUACCAGAAAGGGACGGCUAACUACGUG
rnacentral:rRNA from 1 species